UUGUGUAAAAACAACAGAGCACAAAUCCUUCCUGGAUGUGCAGAAAAGAGGUAUGCUGUUGUCGGAGGCUUUCAUGGCCAGGAUCAAAGGGUUGUUGUGUGUUUUCCGGGCAGUACUUCUGGAACAUGGCCAUACUGCCCGGAAAACACACAACAACCCAAAGAGGUAUGCUGCUUAUAUCCAAGAUAAGAAAUCAGAACAAUGUUAGAUCACUUGUAUUCCUGUCCUACCAUAACAUUGUUGUAGUGACUGAACCAUCACAGAUGUUUAAAGAUCAAAACUGUGGUAGAAAUUUAAAACAGCUUUUCCAGUAUGGCUUCCUCCAGAUAUAUUGGACUACAUUUCCAAUCAUUCCCAUCCAUCAUGGCUAUUAGUCACAUUAAUGAAAGUCUAAGAACAAGGUUCAAAACUAAAAACAGUUUGAAAGUCUAAAAGCCUUAACAGUGUUAUACAAUGACAAAUAAUUAUUUUCCCUUUCACUCCAGCUUAGGCCUCCACACCCUUCAGCUUGUUACUCUGAGUUCUGUAAUGAUCAUCAGAUCACAUUUUGAUUUAUGGAAACCCUCCAUGAAUUCCAUAGGGUUUAUUUAGGCAAGUAAUACACAAAAGUGAUUCGGCCAGUUUCUUCCUCUGAAAUAAUUAUUUUCAGUGCCAUCUCUCUUGAUCUUUUCAUCUAGCAAACUUUCAUCAUUAUUCUCGGAGGGUCUUUUGCAGCCAAAUGUAUUCUCUAUCUUGCUAAGAUAGCAUCAGAAUGUGUUCACCAUCAAACCAUCCCAUAUUCUGCUAUUCUUCCUCACUGCAUAUCAAUUUCACCUCGUGUCAUUGAGCUCCUUGCUAAGGAGGAAACUAGAAACCACACUGUUGUUUUGAAAAUAAUGUCAAUAGCAGUGGGUUCCACAUAGUUCCCCUAUCUCAGAAUUUGUUGUUGUUUGCUGUCUCCUAGAGGAUAAGAAAAUGCAGGUACAUGGGUGGAACGAUGCCUUGAUUUUUCCAUUGUUCUUGGGAGAAGUCCAAAAGAUACAGAAGGUAACAUUCUUGCCAGAUGUUUUUGCGAAGAGAUCAUUGAGUGAAAUUGGGGCCAGGGCAAGCGAAUGGAGUUUCAAGAAUUGGAGCUAUGCAUAUGUUUGGAUUUACCAUAAGGAAAUAGCAGGCAGACCCCUCCCAGGCAGCAAAUUUAAGCUGGCAUCCAAGGACAAUGAAUAAUUAGUCAUUCAGUUUGCUAGCGACAGGGAAUUGGAAGGAUGCUCGUAGUGUUUGAUGCCUCAUGUGUUAAAAUCACUCAGCUGCAUUUGGUUAGUAUGCAUUUAAUCAUGGUAAUUGUGAGAUGGUUUUUGUGGCUGUGCCUCAGACAGCAAGAUGUCUCAAGUAAUCCAUGCUAUGAUUACCUAAGCUGUAGACUCUAAGGCCAGGAACUGGAAGGACUGUCAUAAUGUGAAGAUCCACACAUGGGAAAGAUUUGGAUUUAGGGUGCUCUUUGUCAAGCAAGUGACUACCAUUUCAUUAGAACAGCUUCAGACUUAGGACUAGAACGAUGCUGGUCUUUCUUCUGGCCCUUCCACACUGCCCUUUAUCCCAAAAUCUGAUCCCAGAUUAUCUACUUUAAAGUGGAAUAUAUGGGUCCCCACUGCCAGAUAACCUGGGAUAAACAGAUAAUCUGGGAUCAGAUGCUGGAAUAAAGGGCUUUUAGUGGAAGAACAAUUGUCUAGAAUCAUAAAAUUGUAUAGAAUCACAGAGUUGGAAGUGGCCACAUGGGCCAUCCAGUCUAACCCCAUGCUAUGCAAUAAAGCAUAAUCAAAGUACCCGCAACAAUAGCUACUGUAAGGAUGUGAAUUCUACUGCUUUUUGCAGAAAAAUAUUAGAGAUUAUUUGGGAAUUUGGGGCUUGCAUUUUCCCUCUCACUUUCUAUUUUGUGGAAAUUAUACCAAACGUCAUACCUCCCUAUUGCCUACCAAUCCCAUAAUUUGGGUAUGCUGGAAAAGUAGCCAUUUUCCAUGUUUGUCUUUCUUUCCCCUCAUCAUUGAAAAAUGAAGUAAGAUCAUAUUCUAUUUCAGUUGCUUCAGAUGAUGUUCAAUUGUGGAAUGGGGUCUCACAGAUCGUCAUGACCUGAUUCAUCCCCACCCUUUUCACUCUUUUUUAUCAUUACCCAAACAAUAACAUUGAAUUAUUAACAGUUUUCCUCACCAUGGAGCCAUCUGGAUUGUUUUGUACUACAACUUCCAUAAGCCCCAACCAACAUGGCACAUGAUAGGGGCUAAGGAAAUUGUAGUCCAAAUAUGCAGAGGGUACCAUGGGUGUAGAUUUAGAUUGAUUCCAGUGCUGUAUGACCACUGCAGAAACCCCCCCACAUUUCUGAACUUCAUCAGGUUGAUUUGGAUCCAUUUGGGCAAGUUCCAAAUUGGAUGAGACCAAUCUGAAUCAGUGGCACACAGUCCUGAUCCAAAUUUAAUUAAUCCAGAGUGUCUGGGGGAGCAUACAUCUCAUCCAACUACAUCAUAAUACCACACAGGGCAAAUGCCGCAAUGGGAAGGAAAUUAGUUGCUCAGUGAUAGUUCUGCCUCUAGUGUGGGGUGAAAACCUUACUAACAAUCUCCAGUCACAGUAGAUGUGAGGUGGAAAGCAAAGAGUGGAGCGCUAUUUGAACUAUCCCAUGCCCAGCCCUUUUUAUAGCCUGGUCACGCCCAUUGUACUACUGGCAUUUGUGAAGAGCUGGACCACAAACAUGACCAGAGAGACAAAGGAGAAGAUGAUGGCAAGAAUCAUGAAAGCCUGUACAGCCUUGAGGGCCGCUAAUAACACAUGGGAGAGAGAAAAGGAAAAAAGGUAUCAAUCUGGAGUUUCCUCCUAAUGCCAAAAUGUACAACGGUACUUUAAUAGUACAUUAAGUAGCAGUAAAUAGUCUCUUACAUUGCUCACUCUCGGGAAAGGUAAGCUCUCUGCACUGGUCAUUUGCACAUUGAAGCCAGAGACCAGAUGAGUUUGUUACCGUGUUAUUCUUGCCUGCCAUCCAAACCUAAAACAAAACAGAACAGAUAUAAAUGUAUUUUUUGCUCAGCCUUAAAAAAAAUGAAUUAACCAGGCUUAUGCUAGAACAGCAUGAAGUACCUAAGCUUCAGACAUAUUCAGAAAUGAAGUCGACUAUUACUGGAUUUCUGAUGGCUGUAUCUUGGAGAGGUUGACACUAUUACAUAAAAAAGACUUACCUGUAUAUACUCAAGUAUAAGCUGACUCAAAUAUAAGCCGAGGCGCCUAAUUUUACCACAAAAAACUGGGAAAACGUAUUGACUUGAGUAUAAGAUGAGGGUGGGAAAUGCAACAGCUACUGGUAAAUUUCAAAAAUAAAAAAUACCAUUUUCAUUAAUUGAGGCAUCAGUAGGUUAAAUGUUUUUGAAUAUUUACAUAAAACUGUAAUUUAAAUUAAUAAUAAGACUUUAAUAAGAUUAGACUGGCUAACUCUGGUUACCUAUAUAUUUGAGUAUAAACUGACCUGAAUAUAAGCUGGCCAGGACCCUCAGGUGAGUAAAAGCCAAGGGGGGCUUUUUCAACCCUAAACAGGGCUGAAAAGGUUGGCUUAUACUUGAGUAUAUAUGGUACAAAUGAUGUUACCAGAAACUGAAUAUCAGUGUGCAAUCUGCAGAAUCUAUGUAUCUGUAUUUGCUUUUCUUCACUCCUAUUUGCAAACUUGGGACAGCAUAAACUCAAAUAAAAAGUAAAUUCACAUGGUGAAGUUCAUUACAGAAUUAUUGAUGUUACACAAAUAAAUGCAUGCAGAAACACAUAAUAUGAUUUAAAGCAGGAGUGUAAAGUCUCUCUGUCAAGGGGCCUCAUUGGGCCUCCAGCUGAAUCCAUGCUAUUGCCAUAGUUCAAAAAGAAGAGGGACCUGUAGCAUUCAACUGAUUGGUGAAAGAGUCUAAUGACAUGAAGGCUGAGAAGCGUGUUCUUUCUGCUUCUCGGCGCUGCUGGCAUGCUGCCAGCACGGAGUCCACCAGAGCCCAUUAGAUGAUGCAGAGCAACUUCCGGUGAGGCUCCGCUGGGCUUCAUGUAAGCAGCACAGAGAGCAUGGAGCCCCAAGGAGUCGGGUACAUAGAAGAAGCUGGGGAGAAUGCGGGAAGAAGCCGGGGACCAUAGGGAAACAUUGUAGGAAGAGAUCCCACACUAACAAUGAUAAGAGCACAAACGGUACGCUGCCUCACUGUUUCCCCCCGCUGUCCCCUGACUUCUCGGCCUCCCUGUGAUGAGGUCCUAAAAGAGGUUUAGAAAAUGCUAUAAUCUUCCAACUAGAGGUCAGGUCAGAACCCCUUUGGGAUAUCUUUGACUCAUGCAAAAGGGAAGCUGAAUUCCAAUAGUCAGCAGCUGAAACAUACAAUGUUAAAUUGUCCAUAAUUGUACUGUGCUCUAAGAAACCUUAUAAUGAUGAAGCCAUUCACACCAUGGUGUUUCUUACUGUAGUGCCAAAUUUCUAACUGCUUGGAACAUAGAAUGGAAUGCUGGGGGAUGAGGCAGUUUGAAGCAAGAAUUGUUAGUGGAAUGUAGAAAGAGCCAAGAGCCCUGAGAAGAGCAGUAGCGGUUCUUUUCUUGCAGAGGCCAUUAAAGAUUCCCUGAACUAUUUGCUUUGCUAGUCUGUUGUUGUAUAUUCUGACUGGCAACAAUUCCCAAGGACCUCAGAUAGUGUUUUCCCAUCAUCAAUUUCCUGAUCCUUUUAAGUGGAGAUUAGAUCUGGGUGUUAACAAAAUGUCGGUGUACAACAAAAGAAAUUUAAAGAUGAGCUUAAAGGUAACCUAGUCAAAUGUAGUAUAAAUACCAAGAACUGGGAGGCCCUUGCACUCGAAUGUUGUAACUGGGUGAUCUACCUCUGGAAGGCUAUCAUACCUAGACAAAAGUGAUUGCCCAUGGGUAUUUCUGAUUGCAAAGUAUGUGCAUAUAAGCCAAGCUCUCUUCCCUACAUUCUUAAAUUCUUUUCCAUUAAGCUAAUAUGUAUAGUCCUUGAGUGUUUCUGUUUCUGCUUUCUCUGCAAAUUUUCAAGCUUUUUUUUCACAACUUUGGAAGUGUUCUGUGUGUGUGUCAAAAAAUAAAAUGUAUUUAUUUUAUUUAUUUACUGCAUUUAUAGCCCAUCCUUCUCACCCCAAAAGGGACUCAGGGCAGCUCACAAAAAAGGCAUAAUCAAUGCAACAUAUAGAUACAUAGGGUAAAACAACAUAUAUAAAUUAUAAUCAAUAAUCAAAACAUCAUGAUCUUAAAACCAAUUCCUUAAAAACCACGCAGUCCAAAAGCAUAUUCCAGGAGCCAUUCCAAUCAUAAAUUGCACUAUCCCAUACAGGCAUGUAGCCGGGGGGGGGGGGGGGGGGGGGGGGGGGGCUUGAGGGGCUUCACAAGAAGGCCUUACAUUUAUUAUUUAAACUGUUACGUUCAUUCCUAUCAGGAUCUGAUCACCAUGCUCAAUAUAUCUCAUGCAUGGGGGUAUUGGGAUAACAAUACAAAAGGUUUGCUAGGGUAGAUCCUCUCUCACUAAGACUCACCCCCCCCCCCCCCCCCAAAUCAAAAUCCUGGCUACGAGCCUGAUCCCAUAGUUACUUCUUGCAUUGCAGAUUAUUGUCCAAAGGCUUGGUCCCACAUCCAUGUCUUCUCUUUCCUCCUGAAGGACAGAAGGGAGGGAGCUAAUCAAAUUUCACUGGGGCAGGAGUUCCACCACUGAAAAGGCUUUGUCUCUCAUCCCCAUCAGUCGCUCCUGCGAAGGAGGCAGGAUUGAGAGCAGGGCCUCAAUCUUAACCUCCAAGAUGAUUCAUAGAGGGAGAUACGUUCAGAUAGGUAGGCUAGGCCAGAACCGUUCAGGGCUCUAUAGGCUAAAGCCAGUAAUUUGACUUGGGCUCGGUAGCAGACUGGUAGCCAGUGGAGCUGGCGCAACAGGGGGUUGUAUGCUCCCUAUACCCCGCUCCAGUGAGGAAUCUCUCUGCUGCCCGUUGGACCACUUGAAGCUUCUGAACAGUUUUCAAAGGCUGUUGAACAUGUACAGCACGUUGCAGUAGACUAUUCGGGAUGUAACGACAGCAUGGACAGCAAGGCCAAGUCUGGCUUCUCAAGGUAUGAGCACAACUGGCACACAAGUUUUAAUUGUGCAAAAGCUCCCCUGGCCACCAUCGAAACCUGGCAUUCCAAGCUCAGCUACAAAUCCAAGCUGCGAACCUAUGUCUUCAGGGGGAGUGUAACCCCAUCCAGCACAGGCUGUAACUCUAUACCUGGUUCAGCCUUUUGAUUGACCAGGAGUAUCUCUGUCUUGUCUGGAUUCAAUUUCAAAAGAAAACCAGAUUAUCUGAUGUGGACAUAUUUCAUCAGAUGAUAUGUGUAAAUGGAGUAGAUCUGACUUGACUUUUUCUGAAGAGUCGAAAUCUAAUGGACAAUCCAUGAAGCUCUCAUCUAUUAAAUAAAGUAUCUGAUUUCUUUUUUUAAAAUUGCUCAGCAUCAGUAUGCCUGAUAUACUCUGGUUCUUGCACAGUAAAACAUACCUUUGUUGGAGUAAUAUGAAAGGGUUUAUUGGCUUGUUGCCAUUUGCAACAAGACAGUCAUUUAUUUCUGAGACCCUUCCUCAGAACUGUGUUUCAAGAAUUACCACCAUGCACAUGUACACUCAAAUUAAGUAAACUACCUUUCAGAUUCUGAGAAACCUCUUAAUAAAAUAAACAAACCAAUAAAUAAGAGUUUUUAAAAUCCCUCUUAGAACAUACUUUGGGGGAGGGUUAAUUUUGUGGGAGCUAGAAUGUUGGUAAUUUGAUAAAGCAUGAUUUAUGCUAUCCCUGAUGGUUACAUGGGAUGUAUAUGGAUUUCAACAAAUGUAUAUUGUUUUAAGUUAUUGAUCUUAUACUACCAUAACUUAUUUAAUUUUUUAAAAUGUUUUUAUUAUUUAUUUUUAUUUUAUGUGUCUUGUUUUCAUGCAAGGUGUGAGCCAUCUUUGGCCCAAUGUAGGAGAAGGACAUGUUAUUAAGUAAAUAAAUAAAUAGACAGAUCAAGAGGGAAACCCACACGGGAAAACACAGCCCCAUUGGUCGGUUUCCAGCAUAUUUCCUGAAUUGUUCAUUCAGUACUUAGGACGGGAAGCUGCUUUUGGACUAGAAGGAAUGACUAUGAUCUCCUCAAGCUUCUCCCUGCAGACCACAGAGGCUGUUCCCUUGGAUGUCUACUCAGGCAUCCUGGAACAACAGAGUGCUGAUAAAAUAAAAAGAACUCCCUGUGGUUUCCUGA